AAAUGAAUAGACGGGGGCCCGCACAAGCGGUGGAGCAUGUGGUUUAAUUCGAAGCAACGCGAAGAACCUUACCAGGUCUUGACAUCCCUUGACCACCUCAGAGAUGAGGUUUCUCUUCGGAGCAAGGAGACAGGUGGUGCAUGGUUGUCGUCAGCUCGUGUCGUGAGAUGUUGGGUUAAGUCCCGCAACGAGCGCAACCCUUGCCUUUAGUUGCCAUCAUUAAGUUGGGCACUCUAGAGGGACUGCCGGUGACAAACCGGAGGAAGGUGGGGAUGACGUCAAAUCAUCAUGCCCCUUAUGUCCUGGGCUACACACGUGCUACAAUGGUCUGCACAGAGGGAAGCGAAGCAGUGAUGUGAAGCGAAUCCCAGAAAACAGAUCUCAGUUCGGAUUGUAGGCUGCAACUCGCCUACAUGAAGGUGGAAUCGCUAGUAAUCGCAGGUCAGCAUACUGCGGUGAAUACGUUCCCGGGCCUUGUACACACCGCCCGU
rnacentral:rRNA from 1 species